UUUUUAAUAAGUAGACCUAUACUGACGAUGUAAGGAAUGUUUCUAUGUACAUGAAUAUGUAAAAUGGUUUUUGCUGUCGUUCUGUCCCUUUGUUUGUUGCAUUUACCAGAGGUCUGGAGUUUAGAAUGUUAUAUUUGUGAUAGCGGCUGGACCAAUCAACUCUGUACACAGAAAACUACGACUUGUCAAUCAGGUGAAAUAUGCUCCAAUACGCUUGAAAGAAAACAGUUCGAAGGCCGACUUUUUACAAAGGGAUGUAUGGAAAGGCAGUUGUGUCAUGAUUUGCAAUCAUUAAACGACAGAAAAACCUGUAGAGAUACGCCUUCUGUUUGCGUUCAUUGCUGUGAUAGUACUUUAUGUAAUCAAGGACAGAUAACUCGUAGCUUCUUACCGAUAAUAUUGUUAUCGACAGCCCUGGGCUUGAUAUAAAUGACAGAUUAAUUCAGUGAAAUGGAACCGCGGUUGUUGAGCGGCAAGUAAAUUGGGCAUAAAAGAACCAUUUGAUUUUUCAAGCCUGGUCUCCACUUAUGUUGCGUAGCUCCUGCGAUAAAUCUCUCGAAUACGAUUCUAAAAUUAUAGUUGGCCAAAUAGUAAGUUCGUUGUAUGUGACGUCACAGAAACGACAUCUCAACAGCCCCCAAUAGGGCGAGUCAAAGCCCUAUAUGAGUUCCUACUACUGUACACAGUAAUAUAUUAUAGGCCUAUAUAUAUAUAUAUAGAUCUAAAUUAUGGAACUGUAAAGUCAAAUUAAAUCAACUC